rnacentral:rRNA from 1 species
GAUGAACGCUGGCGGCGUGCCUAAUACAUGCAAGUCGAGCGAACAGAUGGGGAGCUUGCUCCUCUGACGUUAGCGGCGGACGGGUGAGUAACACGUGGAUAACCUACCUAUAAGACUGGGAUAACUUCGGGAAACCGGAGCUAAUACCGGAUAAUAUAUUGAACCGCAUGGUUCAAUAGUGAAAGACGGUUUUGCUGUCACUUAUAGAUGGAUCCGCGCCGCAUUAGCUAGUUGGUAAGGUAACGGCUUACCAAGGCAACGAUGCGUAGCCGACCUGAGAGGGUGAUCGGCCACACUGGAACUGAGACACGGUCCAGACUCCUACGGGAGGCAGCAAUAGGGAAUCUUCCGCAAUGGGCGAAAGCCUGACGGAGCAACGCCGCGUGAGUGAUGAAGGUCUUCGGAUCGUAAAACUCUGUUAUUAGGGAAGAACAAAUGUGUAAGUAACUAUGCACGUCUUGACGGUACCUAAUCAGAAAGCCACGGCUAACUACGUG